rnacentral:rRNA from 1 species
UACAAAGGGGGCAAGCGUUGUUCGGAAUUACUGGGCGUAAAGGGCGCGUAGGCGGCCUUCUAAGUCGAACGUGAAAUCCCCGGGCUCAACCCGGGAACUGCGUCCGAUACUGGAAGGCUUGAAUCCGGGAGAGGGAUGCGGAAUUCCAGGUGUAGCGGUGAAAUGCGUAGAUAUCUGGAGGAACACCGGUGGCGAAGGCGGCAUCCUGGACCGGCAUUGACGCUGAGGCGCGAAAGCCAGGGGAGCAAAGCGGGG